rnacentral:rRNA from 1 species
GGCGUCGACGGGUAGCCGGCCUGAGAGGGUGACCGGCCACACUGGGACUGAGACACGGCCCAGACUCCUACGGGAGGCAGCAGUGGGGAAUAUUGCACAAUGGGCGCAAGCCUGAUGCAGCAACGCCGCGUGAGGGAUGACGGCCUUCGGGUUGUAAACCUCUUUUAGCAGGGAAGAAGCGAAAGUGACGGUACCUGCAGAAAAAGCGCCGGCUAACUACGUGCCAGCAGCCGCGGUAAUACGUAGGGCGCAAGCGUUAUCCGGAAUUAUUGGGCGUAAAGAGCUCGUAGGCGGUUUGUCGCGUCUGCUGUGAAAUCCGGAGGCUCAACCUCCGGCCUGCAGUGGGUACGGGCAGACUAGAGUGCGGUAGGGGAGAUUGGAAUUCCUGGUGUAGCGGUGGAAUGCGCAGAUAUCAGGAGGAACACCGAUGGCGAAGGCAGAUCUCUGGGCCGUAACUGACGCUGAGGAGCGAAAGGGUGGGGAGCAAACAGGCUUAGAUACCCUGGUAGUCCACCCCGUAACGUUGGGAACUAGUUGUGGGGUCCAUUCCACGGAUUCCGUGACGCAGCUAACGCAUUAAGUUCCCCGCC